rnacentral:tRNA from 1 species
GAGGAUGGGCCCUGGCCCAGUGUCAGAGCAUCCGCUCGGCAUGCGGAAGGUCCCAGGUUCAAUCCCCUGCAUUUCCA